CACGUAGGGCGCAAGCGUUGUCCGGAAUUAUUGGGCGUAAAGAGCUCGUAGGCGGUCUGUUGCGUCUGCUGUGAAAACUCGGGGCUUAACCCCGAGCCUGCAGUGGAUACGGGCAGACUAGAGGUAGGUAGGGGAGAAUGGAAUUCCCGGUGUAGCGGUGAAAUGCGCAGAUAUCGGGAGGAACGACCGGUGGCGAAGGCGGUUCUCUGGGCCUUACCUGACGCUGAGGAGCGAAAGCGUGGGGAGCGAACAGG
rnacentral:rRNA from 1 species